rnacentral:lncRNA from 10 species
GCUGGGCAGGUUUCGGCUAGCGAGGCGGCGCGAAGGGUUUGUGGGAAAUGUGAGGCGAGAGGCUUCGGCGGCGGGAGAAGGGGCUUCGUCCCACCGCCAUCUUUGCGGGAAUUGAACAGCUUGGACUUGGAGACAGUGAGUUAAAACAGAAAUAAGAAGGCGGCAGAAAAAGACUACCAGAUUGAAAUGUGUUGGAUAUUCAUAUCCACCCAGCACCUCAGAAUGUGGCCAUGGAGGAUGGAGACAGAGAUUGGAGUGAUGCAUCUUCAAGCCUAGGAACACUAAGGAUUGCUGGUAAUCACCAGAAGCUGGAAGAGGCAAGAAAGUGUCCUUUCCUAGAGCCUUCAGAGAGAGCGCAGCCCUGCCAACACCUUGAUUAUAUGCUUCAAGCUUCUAGAAUUGUGAGAGAAUAAAUUUCUGUUGUUAUAAGCCAC